rnacentral:lncRNA from 1 species
CUACAACAAGGCUAAAUGGGUUGCAGCCCGCACGAUCUGAAGGAAAAUCAAUGAGGUAUCAAUGAGGUAUGAGAGAAAGUUUAAAAAUAAUGAAUAAAUUGGUACAAAAAUUUAAUAGGUCACCUCUUUUUUUAUUGAGUGAACAUGUCACCUCUCUGAGGAAAACACGUGGAACUACCACAUGUCGCAUCCUAGCAGACAUGUACAAACUACAGAUGCAUCCUAGCAGUUUGUUAUCACAUCUUAGCCUAAGAUUAAUCAGCACUCCCUUUACUCGCAGACCAUCAUUAUGCCUUGCACGCAUCAACAAACACACGAUGGACCAUCCUCCUCGAAUCACCACUGCCUAAUUAACCCGAUCCUUGAUUGAAAGUUAAUGAAGCGACUAAUCAAUCCACGAGCUAGCACCAAUCAAAUUAACCAUCUAUAGCUACC